rnacentral:rRNA from 1 species
GAGGAUGCGAGCGUUAUCCGGAUUUAUUGGGUUUAAAGGGUGCGUAGGCGGCGUCCUAAGUCAGCGGUAAAAGCCCGGGGCUCAACCCCGGCGAGCCGUUGAUACUGGGGUGCUCGAGUUGGAGAGAAGUAUGCGGAACGCGCGGUGUAGCGGUGAAAUGCAUAGAUAUCGCGCAGAACUCCGAUUGCGAAGGCAGCAUGCCGGCUCCACACUGACGCUGAGGCACGAAAGCGUGGGUAUCGAA